rnacentral:rRNA from 1 species
AGCAGUAGCCACGGUAAUACGUAGGUGGCAAGCGUUGUCCGAAGUUACUGGGCGUAAAGCGCGCGUAGGCGGCUUCUUAAGUCUGAGGUGAAAGGUUCAACGCUUAACGUGAACAGUGCCUUGAUACUGGGGAGCUUGAGUAUGGGAGAGGGCAGUGGAAUGGCUGGUGUAGCGGUGAAAUGCGUAGAUAUCAGUCGGAACACCCAUGGCGAAGGCAGCUGCCUGGCCUAAUACUGACGCUGAGGUGCGAAAGCGUGGGGAGCGAACGGGAUUAGAUACCCCUGUGUCCCUGUCUCUUAUACA